rnacentral:sRNA from 1 species
CCCCCCCCUCUCCCCACAGUAGGUCUUUUAAGGCCAUGGCCCUGAUGAGGGCCCGGGGCGACUCCCUCGGAAGCUUACACAUUUUUACAUAUAAGAAAUGUUAUUCCGGUGCGCCGUCCCUAGAUCCGUCAUUGUUUACAUUCGGAUAACACAUGACGAAUGCAGUCAUAACCCGGAAAAAGAUUAUCCAAGUAAAAUAAUGUAAUACAUGUGUAUGACUAAUGAUGUACUAUAUAAUACUGAGGAAAAUGUACUCAUUGUUUAAUUAGGUGUUCAAUGUCAUUUGAAUGAAAGACUGUGAAUUAUGCAGACAUGUUGUGCUAUAUGUAACAUGUCGUUUUGUAACAGCUCUUCUUUUAAGUGACAUUAUAAAAAUGUACACGAAAAAACAAAUAGUUUUCGUUGCGAUAUUUGUGAAAAGGUACUUAAUCGAAAAGACAAUUACGAUCGACAUGUUAGAGUAUGCAAAGCAGAAUUUAAAUGUUUUUACUGUGACUAUACGUUUAAGUUUUCAUCGCAUCGCGCAUUACAUGUCCACAGGGAGCAUAAGGAUAAAUUAUUUAGGUGUGAUGACUGUUGCGCUGAAUUCUCGGACGAGAGAAAGUAUCAAAGACACCAGCAGACAUGCAAGGUAUGGUACCACAUUUUGAAAAUCGUUGUUAAUGAAAAUAUAAGAUAUAUGUACCGUAUCUGCAGGAAUUUGGGGGGACGCUGCGGGUUGCGCAUGCGCCAUCCCCAUCCUCCGAGGAGAAGUUAAUUCGUCUCCUCACCUACAAAAAAAAAUGCAUAUUUACAUUGUUUUUAUUAACAUAAUUUUCAUGAAUGUGUUUGUCAUUCAUUAACAUUUGUUGUUUAAUCGAUGGUUUAUAUAUUACUUUUCUUUGUUGAUCGUAGAAUAUUUACAAUUUAAAAAAUAGAAAUUAGAAAAAAUCAAAAUGAUAAAAACAUACCUGGCGAAAUCUAGGCCCUCUAGGGGUAGAAUCGAUCACAAUGACCCGGGAACUUAACCACACAUCAUUGGUCUGAUUGUUGUAACCAUGUCUUUGACCCAACUGCUGUGCUGGGCGUUCUG